rnacentral:rRNA from 1 species
GAGCGGACAGAUGGGAGCUUGCUCCCUGAUGUUAGCGGCGGACGGGUGAGUAACACGUGGGUAACCUGCCUGUAAGACUGGGAUAACUCCGGGAAACCGGGGCUAAUACCGGAUGGUUGUCUGAACCGCAUGGUUCAGACAUAAAAGGUGGCUUCGGCUACCACUUACAGAUGGACCCGCGGCGCAUUAGCUAGUUGGUGAGGUAACGGCUCACCAAGGCGACGAUGCGUAGCCGACCUGAGAGGGUGAUCGGCCACACUGGGACUGAGACACGGCCCAGACUCCUACGGGAGGCAGCAGUAGGGAAUCUUCCGCAAUGGACGAAAGUCUGACGGAGCAACGCCGCGUGAGUGAUGAAGGUUUUCGGAUCGUAAAGCUCUGUUGUUAGGGAAGAACAAGUGCCGUUCAAAUAGGGCGGCACCUUGACGGUACCUAACCAGAAAGCCACGGCUAACUACGUGCCAGCAGCCGCGGUAAUACGUAGGUGGCAAGCGUUGUCCGGAAUUAUUGGGCGUAAAGGGCUCGCAGGCGGUUUCUUAAGUCUGAUGUGAAAGCCCCCGGCUCAACCGGGGAGGGUCAUUGGAAACUGGGGAACUUGAG